UGAGGAAUAUUGGACAAUGGAGGCAACUCUGAUCCAGCCAUGCCGCGUGAAGGACUAAGGCCCUAUGGGCUGUAAACUUCUUUAGACGCAGAGCAAUAAGGGCCACGUGUGGUCCGAUGAGAGUAUGCGUAGAAUAAGCAUCGGCUAACUCCGUGCCAGCAGCCGCGGUAAUACGGGGGAUGCGAGCGUUAUCCGGAUUCAUUGGGUUUAAAGGGUGCGUAGGCGGCUUUGCAAGUCAGCGGUGAAAGGCCCGGGCUCAACCUCGUAUUGCCGUUGAAACUGGCUGACUAGCGUGGCGUCGAGGUGUGCGGAAUGCGUUGUGUAGCGGUGAAAUGCAUAGAUAUGACGCAGAACUCCGAUUGCGAAGGCAGCACACCGGGCGCCUACGGACGCUGAGGCACGAAAGCGUGGGUAUCGAACAGGAUUAGAUACCCUGGUAGU
rnacentral:rRNA from 1 species